GUUAGACACCUUCUGGGCUGCCCAGCUCCCGGAACAGCCUGACAAGUGUGUAUUACCGCCGUCUUACAAUGAGGAAACUGAGACUCAGGAGUGACUUUCCAAGGUCACACAGGUGGGGUGGCCCUCAGGCUGACCUGCACUCCCACUGCGGCACCCACCGGAAUCUCUGAGGGAUGUCCCAGGACACCCAGCUGAGCUGAGAGAAGAACCCCAGUCCCCUGCCUCCCGCCCAUGGUGGUGUCCCCUGAUGAAAUUCGGGGGCAGGGAGAGAUGCUAGAGGGCAGCCUGCCAUGGCAAUGACCAGAGGGUCAUGGUGGGGGCCUGGCUUGGGUCUGUGGCUAGCCCUGACCGUGACCGUGCAGUGACCGUGACCAUGUCCCCCGAGCAGUGACCGUGACCAUGUUCCCCUGGGAAGCCGAGAGGAGCGCCCCCUUCAGCCAGCCUCUUCCCACCGAGACGGGCUUCCCGAGUUCCUGGUGUGGGCCCUCCGUGUGGGGGGCAACAGUGAGCAUCUUCAGAAAGGGAAGCAAAACCGAAACAAUACAAUCAGAGAAAACGAAUGCUGGAAGCGGUGUUGUGGACCACGUGGGGCAAUCCUUCCUGCUUCCAACCCGAUCCCUCAUCUUGAUAGGUGGAGAAACUGAGGCUCAGAGAGAGAGAAAGAGAGAGAGAUGUUCAUCGAUUGGUUGCCUUCUGUAUGCGCCUGGACCUGGGAUCGGCACCCGGACCCUGGAUUGUACAUGCCUGUGCCUGCGCCGGGACUGGGGAUCAAACACGCAACCUAG